GCGCUCGUAGCUCAGUUGGAUAGAGCGGUGGUUUCCGGUACCACGUCCGUCGGGGGUUCGAGUCCCUCCGAGCGCGUCA
rnacentral:tRNA from 1 species